UACGGGGGGAGCAAGCGUUGUUCGGAUUUACUGGGCGUAAAGGGCGCGUAGGCGGUCGUGACAAGUCACUUGUGAAAUCUCCGGGCUUAACUCGGAACGGUCAAGUGAUACUGUCGGACUAGAGUACAGAAGGGGCAACUGGAAUUCUCGGUGUAGCGGUGAAAUGCGUAGAUAUCGAGAGGAACACCUGCGGCGAAGGCGGGUGCUGGGCAGUAACUGACGCUGAGGAGCGAAAGCGUGGGGAGCGAACAGG
rnacentral:rRNA from 1 species